GUCAGGAAGUACACGCUGAGGUAUUUAGCAGUAAAAUGGCGUCAUCUCUUCAACUCUCAACUCACCCUCAGUCGAUUCAGGGAAAUGCGCAUAUGCAGACACAGGCACAUGCAAACACAUGUAAACACAUGCGCAAACAUGCAAACACAUAUAAACAUGCGUGAACGGCAGAACAGCAGGAAGGUAACGCCAGAGAGAAUUGGGAACAGCAGGAAGGUAAUGCGUGAGAAGUGGGAAUGGCAGGAAGGUAACGCCAGUGAGAAGUGGGAACAGAGGGAAGGUAACACCAGUGAGAAGUGGGAACGGCGGGAAGGUAACACCAGUGAGAAGUGGGAACGGCGGGAAGGUAACGCCGUGAGAAGUGGGAACAGCAGGAAGGUAACACCAGUGAGAAGUGGGAACGGCGACGCCGGUGAGGGGAAGUGGGAACAGUUGGUGAAUUCGCCUAAGGCUCUAAUGGCAGUUCCUUGUCGUAUUCUUGUGACUUUUACAUAUGUUUGACGUUGUAUCAAAAUGGUAAGUUGGGAAAAACCCUCAGAGCAGCUCAUCCUCAGACCUGCUGAACAGUCUUCAAAGACGCCAAACGGUGGCAGCCGCGUCUUUGUGAGGCUCUU
rnacentral:lncRNA from 1 species